rnacentral:lncRNA from 1 species
GCCUGGCAACCAUUUUGCCACCCUGAAGGGACAGAGAGCCUGUUUGAGAACGAAGCCAAAAGGAGGAAGAGAAGCUGACAGAUGGAGAGAGAGAAAGAGACACUAUGACAACUUCCAGAGGUCCAACCAGAAGCUGUGGUCGAAGCCAACCCCAGAUUCACUCAAGUCUUGCGGCUCUGGGAAACGUCCUUCUUAAUUGAUCCUUGUCGUAACUACAGCUCUGUUGACAUUUCUAAAGCAAAACAUAGCCUUCCUUCCAAACGCAGUGAAUACACAAAUGAAGCUUUUCAUAUACGUGAAAGCUGAGCCCCGCGGCGGAAUACUGAAGCCGCCUUGUGAUUUGAAAUGGACAUCUGCGUUUCUCCACCACUUCCUCACUGCCGACUGCCGCAGGAAGCGCCCAGCCUGUCUCCCAGGCAGUUUCACUCAAGGCUGGGCUCUCCCUGAUGCAAGGGCCACAGGUAAUCCAGGUGAGGAAAUACAAACACAGGCUGGGGGUGCCUGCUCCCCGCCACCUUCUCUUGUCCUCUCAAGGAGGAAGGGAAGGGCCUGCAGAAGCAACUGAGAAACACUGAAGGGUCUCUGAGGAAUGCCGAGUUUCCAUCUGAUAAGCGGAUGGGGAAGACCAACAAAGCAAGAUAAAGAGCUUGCUGUUGUGUUAGAGCCUCGAGUGGGCUUCCAGCCAGGUGAGGCUUUUCUACCUGGCGUUAUACAGGAAGUUCAAGGUAAAGUCACCAGGGGGCUUGGGGCACUGGAUUAAAGACAGGAAGGGGGCGGAAAAGACUUAUUAUUUUCUAAGUAUCGGCAUCCACCCUCAGGGCUCUCUUACCAGGGCAAGCAGCAAGUUCAUUCAUCAUCUUAAUGGCCAGGCCAAGAUGACUAUAAACAUCUAAGGGUUGAAUUUUACUUGAGGCUACUAUUAACUUGACAAGAGACACCAGAGAAAGCAGAACACAAUGAAAAUCAGUCCCUGCGCUGAAUGAAAGCGGCAGUGAAGGAAGGCUGUAAUCUGUCCCAGCACUGAGGGAUGAGGCUCACUUCUGCCUAAGAACCAUUCUGUUGCUCAAUGCUUGGUUUCCCGGCUGUAACACAAUUUGCUUUGUUCUCCUGCCCAGAUGCAGUUUCUGUAUGGAACCUUCUGUCUAAAAACAGGCCAAAGCACUCCCUCAAAUAAAGGUAUACAAACA